AUUGAACGCUGGCGGCAGGCCUAACACAUGCAAGUCGAACGAGUGGCGGACGGGUGAGUAAUGUCUGGGAAACUGCCUGAUGGAGGGGGAUAACUACUGGAAACGGUAGCUAAUACCGCAUACCAUCGGAUGUGCCCAGAUGGGAUUAGCUAGUAGGUGGGGUAAAGGCUCACCUAGGGGACGAUCCCUAGCUGGUCUGAGAGGAUGACCAGCCACAAGGGAACGGAGACAAGGCACAGACUCCUACGGGAGGCAGCAGGGGGGAAUAUUGCACAAGGGGCGCAAGCCUGAUGCAGCCAUGCCGCGUGUAUGAAGAAGGCCUUCGGGUUGUAAAGUACUUUCAGCGGGGAGGCGUUACCCGCAGAAGAAGCACCGGCUAACUCCGUGCCAGCAGCCGCGGUAAUAC
rnacentral:rRNA from 1 species